rnacentral:lncRNA from 1 species
UGUUGUCUCUGUUGAUCCUAACCCCUUUUGCAAUAGCUAUGGAGGGCCCUCAGGUGUGGGCUGCUGGCUGGCAAAAUGCUCUUGCUCAAAUUGGACCAAAUUUUGCUUGGUACUUUCUGCAUUCUACUCUCACUCGCUUUAUAGUCCUUUUAUACGUGUUCUUAAUUACACAUUUAGAGAUUGCAAAAUAAAUUUAUAGACAUGUUAAAUAGUCUUGGUGAUUACAUCUAGUUCAUUAGAAAUUAAAGUCGUUUAGUACUUCAUCUGGAAAUUUGAAUCAGUAAACGAAACACUGGUGAUAACAUUUUAGACCAUGACGACAAUUUGGAACACGAUGAUGAACACCAAGA